GCUAACUGCUAGCUUAAAACGUUUUCAUUAGCCUUAGGACCACCGGGAGACCUCUCCAAGACCCAUGGGGGGUCCUCAGCCCCGAUUUUGAGAACCACAGCCCUGGACUACAGUAUCAGAGGCGGCUCCAUUCAUUCUGUGUGACUGUGGCUGCUGCAGGGGAAGCCAGGGUUUGCUGAGGAGCAGGAGGAGGAUGCUGGAGCUGUGUGCAUGGGAGAGCGUGGGCCCGGCGCUGCUCUCAAUAGGCCAACAAAAGUGUCAGGACCCCGGUGCUCUGCAUGCUGGACCACGGACAUGACUUGCUGGCACACAUACAUGGAACAGAGCCAUUGUUACUGUUAUUAGUUACGGCUGUGCUUCACCUGAUAUGACAAGUCAAAUAGUCUGGAGUGAGUACAGUCAACACUCACAGCUGUGAAGUCAGCUGGGUGGCAGCAGGAGACACAUUUCCAGCUUUUAAUUAGUGUCUUUCCACACAUCCAUCACAUGUCCCCCAUUCUCAACAACAAGGGAGCUGGAAUCCAGUUUUCACCACAUUUCCUUUUUUUUUUUUUUUUAAAUCAAACAAAAUUAAACAAACAAUUAAAAAAAUCUGACUUCUGGUUUAAAUAAAA